rnacentral:rRNA from 1 species
AGCGAACGCUGGCGGCAGGCCUAACACAUGCAAGUCGAACGAACUCUUCGGAGUUAGUGGCGGACGGGUGAGUAACACGUGGGAACGUGCCUUUAGGUUCGGAAUAACUCAGGGAAACUUGUGCUAAUACCGAAUGUGCCCUUCGGGGGAAAGAUUUAUCGCCUUUAGAGCGGCCCGCGUCUGAUUAGCUAGUUGGUGAGGUAAAGGCUCACCAAGGCGACGAUCAGUAGCUGGUCUGAGAGGAUGAUCAGCCACAUUGGGACUGAGACACGGCCCAAACUCCUACGGGAGGCAGCAGUGGGGAAUCUUGCGCAAUGGGCGAAAGCCUCACGCAGCCAUGCCGCGUGAAUGAUGAAGGUCUUAGGAUUGUAAAAUUCUUUCACCGGGGACGAUAAUGACGGUACCCGGAGAAGAAGCCCCGGCUAACUUCGUG